GACGAACGCUGGCGGCGUGCCUUAUACAUGCAAGUAGACCGCUGAAGGAGGAGCUUGCUUCUCCGGAUGAGUUGCGAACGGGUGAGUAACGCGUAGGUAACCUGCCUGGUAGCGGGGGAUAACUAUUGGAAACGAUAGCUAAUACCGCAUAACAGUAGAUAUUGCAUGAUAUCUGCUUGAAAGGUGCAAUUGCAUCACUACCAGAUGGACCUGCGUUGUAUUAGCUAGUUGGUGGGGUAACGGCUCACCAAGGCGACGAUACAUAGCCGACCUGAGAGGGUGAUCGGCCACACUGGGACUGAGACACGGCCCAGACUCCUACGGGAGGCAGCAGUAGGGAAUCUUCGGCAAUGGACGGAAGUCUGACCGAGCAACGCCGCGUGAGUGAAGAAGGUUUUCGGAUCGUAAAGCUCUGUUGUAAGAGAAGAACGAGUGUGAGAGUGGAAAGUUCACACUGUGACGGUAUCUUACCAGAAAGGGACGGCUAACUACGUGCCAGCAGCCGCGGUAAUACGUAGGUCCCGAGCGUUGUCCGGAUUUAUUGGGCGUAAAGCGAGCGCAGGCGGUUAGAUAAGUCUGAAGUUAAAGGCUGUGGCUUAACCAUAGUACGCUUUGGAAACUGUUUAACUUGAGUGCAAGAGGGGAGAGUGGAAUUCCAUGUGUAGCGGUGAAAUGCGUAGAUAUAUGGAGGAACACCGGUGGCGAAAGCGGCUCUCUGGCUUGUAACUGACGCUGAGGCUCGAAAGCGUGGGGAGCAAACAGG
rnacentral:rRNA from 1 species